GUCUGGCGUCUGUUGACGGCGCUGUUUCAGCCGCGAGGACACCGCCGACAUUGACUGUCGGGGAAAAGAACGAAAAGUGCCUCGAUCUCCGGAGAAUCUGGUGUGUCGACAAGUCUCAAUUCUGCCUCCCACUUCAAGUUCAGGGUGAAUUUACGGCCGGCGUUGUUUCAUCAGACGCCAACUUGAACGGCGUCGCAUUGGUUGAUGUGCGAGAAACGAGCCCUGACCCCCGUCGCUCCCCCAACGACUCCAAGAUGUCCGCCUCUUCCUCUUCCUCUUCCUCUACCUCCUCCUCCUCAUGCAAGCCAACCAAAGGCUCCACGAAGGGAAGCUCUUCCUCGAACUCCACCUCGGUAUCGCCGAACAAUCCCAAGGACGCAUCUGAGUCCAUUGAAUCCCCCACCGGACCCUCGUCGUCCUCUCCUUCUUCACCGUCUCCAGAAACCCCUUCCCCCGCUGGUCGGAGAGCACCACGGAGCAAGACAAAGUCUCCGGUCAAAGCGUUGAAUACUUCGUCCUUGAGUCGUUUUGAGACGGCGUCUACAGCCAUUAUCGAGGGGUCAACAGAGACGACUCCUGAGAGUGCAGAGGCGACGUCUGACCACAGAGCGUCAGCAGAGAGCAUCACUGCAAAAACUGUUGAGUCAUCAGAGACGUGUCCACCUGCACCGGGAUCGGGGUUCAACCAAGGCAACACGCGCAAAGACCUGGAGAAGGGCGAAGAGAAAAGGAAAGACGGCGAUGAUCCUGACAAACGUACAAAGCAGGAGGACGUCGGCGGGGAAAACGACCUAAUGCCUGAUUCCACUCAUGAACAGAUGGACGAUGGGGACCGAGGAGGCGGCUGCGGCGUCCAGCUACCUGAGGAAAACCUUCAGGUCUUGAACGGUGAAAAGGAACCGGACGCUUCUUUUCAAGCGGUGGACGCUGCAGGUCAAGAGGAGAGGAAAAGCCCAGUCGGAGACAACGGUUCCUCAGUGCAGCAGUUAUCUGAGGAAGGUGUGACUCAAGUAAGCAACAAACCUGCAGUUGAACACACAAUCAAUAUAAAUCCGGAGGCAAAUAAUGACCAAGUGUUAGGUAGAAAACGAGCUUCAAGGGGCAUAGGAUGCGCGAAGAAGAGAAAACUAAAUGAAGAGGAGGACAAAAUGAUGAAAUCGGCAGAAUCCUGCAAAGCCUCCAGAGGUGUCGACAAACCUCAUGAGCACAUCCCAAAAGACGAAGAACAGCCUCUUAAUGUCAGCGAUGAGAAAGCCUCUUUAAAAGACCUCGACAGUGAUGUUACCAAACAAGAAACCUUUGAGGCGUUGGAUUCGAUUGACGAUCAGAGAGCAAUGGACGACGAUGGGCAAAAAGUUGAACCUCCAACCGAUCAGAUGUCUAAAGAUAUUAAAGGGAUAGAAGUAGAGGGUGAUGCCAAUCGGGCGGUUGACUCUGUUGCUGAUGCUGACAACAAGGAUAAGACGGUAAAGAGAGUAAAGAUGACCCCGAGAAGAGAUGAUGGAUCGUGGAAGAGGAGUGGUCCGAGGACAAGAGCUUCCAAAAGAGAAGAGAAGGAAAAAUCACCACUGAAACCGGACGGGAGGGUUAUAAAAUCUGGAACAAGAACAAAGACGGGCACCACCGCAGGAGUUUCUAAAAAAGACCAAGAGAUCAAAGAGGAGGUGUAUGAGAUUUUAGAUUCCGUGGACGAUGAACCGGUUCGUGAUGCGACAGAAAGGUCUGUUAGAAGACGAAGUCAGAGAGGAAAGAAAGAGGAAAAAACUGAUGAGGAAUCUCUCUAUGAAGUUUUAGACUCUGUGGAAGAUGAGGCUGCGACUGAACAACCCACCGUUAUGACGAGAUCGACCAGAGGAAGAAGGGGAAGAACAAGUAAGAAAGAUUCUCCAAUCGACAAGACAAAGGAAGAGGACACGCCGACGAGAAGGAGUCGCACUCCUGCCAGAGAAUCACAGGAAGCAAAGAAGAGUUACAUCACUGUGAGAGAGGUGAGGGAUGAGGAUGCUACCUUUGAAAUAUUAGACUCUGUGGAGGACGAGGCGGUUGUGAGGGACGACCGGCCCACUACAGGAGGAAGAGGGAAACGCGGAAGACCAACGAAAGCGGUUAAAGCAACUAAAAAAGAACGCAGAAGAGAAAAGGAGGGGGAGGAGGAGGAGGUAGUGGUCGACACAAAGGAGCUGGUGACUGUGGACGAGGUCGGAGCGGACGAGGCUGGGAAGGAAAUGGCGGCGUGGGAUGGCAAGAACGUGCCGGGAGACGAAGAAAAGGUUGAGUGGAGCACGCUGGAGCUCCGCCCACCUAGCAAAGAGGACGAAUCAGUGGACUCAUUGAACCCAGAGACUUCGUUGACUUUAGACGAACCAGGUGACGACGAGGAAGAGAAGAAAACACGCAAACACAACGACGUAACAGUUGUGAGUAAGAGGAGGAGGAGGAGGAAGGAGCUUGUCGGACCUGAGGCGAAGAGAUCUCGAUCUCAGUCUCCUCGUUCUUCUGCCAAUGUCAAACUGCCGCCGUUCAUUCCAAACAAUCCACUCGGUCAGGAGUUUGUGGUCCCCAAGUCAGGUUACUUCUGUAACCUCUGUCGCGUGUUCUACCUGAACCAGAGCAGCGGCAAGGAGCAGCACUGCGUCAGCCAGAGACACUACGACAACCUGCAGAAGCACUACCAGAAGCUUCAAGACAAACCAUCAAGAAGUUCAACACAAUAUUCUCAAGGUGUCGUUUCUGAUUGA
rnacentral:lncRNA from 1 species